UACAUGGUGGUCAUUGAGGCAAGGUGGCCCUCUAACAGAGUAUAUGAGGAGGCACGGGACGGCCAGCGCCACACUUCAACAUGGAGCGACGCACCCUACUGAUUGUCCUGCUGGUGUGCAGUGUGAUGGCCGCCACGGUGGAGUCCUUGCCUUCACCCUCUUACUCCUUCCCCUUGUACAAGCCUGUCGUACCCUCGUUGUGGCGGCCGAAACCCUGGCUCCCUCACCCGAACGCCCGUGUUGUGGUCACUGGCAAUCGCUAUAGUGGCUGAGGGAGGGAUUCGCGCCGCCACAGCUCCCGCACGUGACGCCACUGUAGUGUUCCCUCGUUCUUUCUUCUGCUACAGUUUUAUUCCGCAAUAAAAUGUGACGAGUA